AAUAGAUACCCGGGUAGUCCACGCCGUAAACGAUGAGUGCUAAGUGUUAGAGGGUUUCCGCCCUUUAGUGCUGCAGCUAACGCAUUAAGCACUCCGCCUGGGGAGUACGGUCGCAAGACUGAAACUCAAAGGAAUUGACGGGGGCCCGCACAAGCGGUGGAGCAUGUGGUUUAAUUCGAAGCAACGCGAAGAACCUUACCAAGUCUUGACAUCCCACUGACCGGUAUAGAGAUAUACCUUUCCCUUCGGGGACAGUGGUGACAGGUGGUGCAUGGUUGUCGUCAGCUCGUGUCGUGAGAUGUUGGGUUAAGUCCCGCAACGAGCGCAACCCUUGAUCUUAGUUGCCAGCAUUUAGUUGGGCACUCUAAGGUGACUGCCGGUGACAAACCGGAGGAAGGUGGGGAUGACGUCAAAUCAUCAUGCCCCUUAUGACCUGGGCUACACACGCGCUACAAUGGAUGGUACAAAGGGCUGCAAGACUGCGAAGUCAAGCCAAUCCCAUAAAACCAUUCUCAGUUCGGAUUGCAGG
rnacentral:rRNA from 1 species